rnacentral:rRNA from 1 species
GACGAACCGUGCGAACGUUAUUCGGAAUCACUGGGCUUAAAGCGCGUGUAGGCGGGACGGCACGUCGGUCGCUGAAAGCCCCCGGCUCAACCGGGGAACGGGCGCCGAUACGACCGCCCUGGAGGAACGUAGGGGGGACCUGGAACUUCCGGUGGAGCGGUGAAAUGCGUUGAGAUCGGAAGGAACGCCCGUGGCGAAAGCGAGGUCCUGGACGUUUACUGACGCUGAGACGCGAAAGCCAGGG